UCUGUUGGUGUGCUCCAGACAUUUUCAUUCCGGUCCUGCACUCUCAAAGACUGAAUGAACCAGCAUUGCAGCCAUGGGUCAUUGUGAGCAUCACAGGGAAGGUUGAAGCCGCCCACUGCACCUGUAUGGCCGGAAUCGUGGAGACCUGCAGCCACGUCACUGCUCUUCUUUUUAAAGUAGAAGCAACAGUGCGGA